AACCUUGAGAAUAACGACGUCACCAUUAUACAUGAUUCUCAAUCAUGUGGUUCAGUCUCUCAUUUGAGUUCAGAUCGUGAUGAGACCUUGAUUCCCUGGCUUGAGCUAUCGCCCCAUUAGUGUCGUAGUGUCGGUACACUAGAGACACUUUUUGGUUGGAACCGAAUAGAGAGUUCAUAAAUGAACUUUCUCAUCCAAACAACAUUGUUGUAAGCUUCUAUAUGGCAAUAUAUUUUGCAUUCACAAUGGAACACACUAAAGUCAUUACUUUUAAUGUUUCCAUCCAAAUAUCUCUUUUAGUCAUAAUAAAGAGAUAUAUGAUUAUCUUUUCAUUCAUAAUGAAGAAACAUCCAAUGAUGGAUUAGAUUCAUAAUCUAAUACAUUUACGCUUCCAUUUCGUUACUCUAAUUCUUCCUCAUUCUUUGAGGAAUCUAUCCUUUAGUAUUUCUUAAAUACUUAAGGACUCACUUGACAGUUGCCAUGGUUCUGAUCCUGGGCUUGCAUUGAUAUUGUCUUGUACCGAUCUAGGUACAAUUCAUAUCAAUGUUUUUCAUACAAUAUGAAAUACAUAAAUCACCUUUCUACGUAUGCAUAAAGGAUUCUAUUUACGCAUUAUUUCUUUGGGAGUCAAAGGGUACGUUCCCUUUGAGAAGGGCAACUUGCUAGUCUCACUAGAGUUGUCCUUCUAAUUGAAGUUUAUCAUCAUAUGAGAAACUUCCUAGCAUCUUUUGUCUAUUAUUAGGGAUUGAUAUAAUCCAAUUAUAUCUUGAAAUAUAUCAUUAUAGAUUUCCAUCCCAUGUAUAUAGACUAUGUCUCCCAUAUCCAUUCUAUCGUUAUAGAAUGUUUAAAGUCAUAACUUUAACGAAGAAGUAUUCUUUUCAUUUCCAAAAUUAAUAUAUCAUAUAUGUGUGUGUGUAUAUAUAUAUAUAUAUAUUUAAAUUUAGGAACAUGAUUAACUCCCACUAAUCUUUUGUAAACCUAGUAAACAAAAGAUUCAUUUACAUCUUUAUGAGAAAUCAAACAAUUUGAUCUUUCUCUCAUAAGACGUUUAUAGCUCCCACUAGCUUGCUAAGAUCCAUGAUGGAUGGAUCUCUA
rnacentral:lncRNA from 1 species